GGAUGUCCGCCAUCUAUUCAUUGAAUCCGCCGAAGAAAAGUUUUGGAUCGACGGCGGUUCGAAAUUACUUUCGAUGACGGUGUUUAGAUGGCGGAAAUCCGUCAUCUAAACUAUCCCGCCCAAAAUUUCGAAUGGCCCCCAAUUUUCAGCCCGAUUACCCGAUUAAAUUGACUUAACAUGGCAGAUGUCCGCCAUGUUAUGUUUUCGGGGAAUCGGGCGGAAAAAGCCCGCCCAAAUUUCGAUUGGGCGGACUUUCACUUUAGUGCUGACGGCACUUAAGUGUACUUACAUGACGGAAAUCCGCCAUGUAAGUUUUGGGGUUUAUUAAAAACCCCAAAUCAGAACAGACGCGUUGUCUGUUCUUUUGGAAAUCCCUCACCGCCGCUCGUCGUCGCCGUCAGCGUUCGCCGGUCACGCCGCCGUGUCCUCGCCGGUCUUCACUGUCAGUCUCCGUGUCUUCGCCGGUAGCCGAUCUCCAUUCCGAUUCCUCAACUUUGAAGGUAGUUUCUAAUUUUUUAACGUUUUUUGUUUUUCCUAAUUUUUUCAUCCUUAAUUUGUCAUCUCUUCAUUGUUUGUUUAAUGUUAUUCUAUAUAUCUAUCUAUCUUUAUCUAUUUUUUUAUGUUUAUGUUUAUCCAUAUUGUUUAGAUUCAAUAUUUAUCUAUCUACUAUUUAGGCUUAAGUUGAAGUAUUUUCUGUUUAGAUGUUUGAAUGAAUGUAUGUAUCUGUUGAUUUAGUAUUGUUUGAAUGUAUGUAUGAAUGAAAUAGUAUUGUUUGCUGUUGAUUUAGUAUCUGAAAUAAUAUUGUUUGAAAUAGUAUUCAUUUAGGAAAGAAAUUUGUUUAGUUAUCGUGUUGAUUGUUUUUGAUAAGUGUUGGGUUUUUGAAUAAGUGUUUAGUUAUCGUGUUUUUGAUAAGUGUUUAGUUAUCGUGUUGUUGAUUUAUGGGUUUGAUUUAUGUUUUUUUAGUUAUUGUGUUGAUUGUUAGUUUGAUGUUUUUAUAGUGAGUUAUUGUUUGUUGGGUUUUUGAUGUAUGAAUAAGAAUUUUUCAUGUUUGGUUUUUUAUAUGUUAAGAAUUUCAAUGAUUUCAUAAGAAUUUGAAUGAUAUGUUAAGAAUUUCAUAUUGUUUUAAUUUCAAUGAUUUAGACAUUGGAAUUGUUUGUUGAUGGUUUGUUUAUUAAGAUAAAAUUUUAUGUUGUAGAUUAAAUAAUGGAAACUUUGUUGAUGUUUGUUAUUAACUUUGUUGAUGUUGAUCGUGAUGGUACUUUGUAUGUGUUGUUUGGGUAUAAUUUUAUUUAUACGGUUUAAUUUUGUGAUAUGUUAUUUGAUUAUCAUAAUGAAAUGUACUUAUUUGAUUAUCCGGUAGCCGACUCCGCUUCGAAGGUCGUCUCCGCUAGCCACCACCUCCGUCCUGAUUUGAUCCCGUCGCCGUUCUUGG
rnacentral:lncRNA from 1 species